UACGAAGGGGGCUAGCGUUGCUCGGAAUCACUGGGCGUAAAGGGUGCGUAGGCGGGUCUUUAAGUCAGGGGGGAAAUCCCGAGGCUCAACCUCGGAACUGCCUUUGAUACUGGGGAUCUCGAGUCCGGGAGAGGUGAGUGGAACUGCGAGUGUAGAGGUGAAAUUCGUAGAUAUUCGCAAGAACACCAGUGGCGAAGGCGGCUCACUGGCCCGGAACUGACGCUGAGGUGCGAAAGCGUGGGGAGCAAACAGG
rnacentral:rRNA from 1 species